GUCGGGCCGUGAAGUGGUCCCAGGAAAUAGCUCCAGCUUAUAGCCCGUACCCUAAACCGACACAGGUGGACUGGCAGAGUAUGCUAAGGCGCUUGAGAGAACUGUAUUGAAGGAACUAGGCAAAUUGCUCUCGUAACUUCGGAAGAAGAGAGCCCGGUUUUUACGCAAGUAGAAGCCGGGGGCACAUAGCAGGGGGUGGCGACUGUUUACUAAAAACACAGGACGCUGCGAAAUCCAAAGAUGACGUAUAGCGUCUGACGCCUGCCCGGUGCUGGAAGGUUAAGAGGAGAUGUGAAAGCGUUGAAUCGAAGCCCCAGUAAACGGCGGCCGUAACAAUAACGGUCCUAAGGUAGCGAAAUUCCUUGUCGGGUAAGUUCCGACCUGCACGAAAGGCGUAACGACUUCCCCACUGUCUCCAAUACAGGCUCAGCGAAAUUGAAUUCCCCGUGAAGAUGCGGGGUUCCCGCGGUCAGACGGAAAGACCCCGUGCACCUUUACUGCAACUUUACACUGGCAUUAGGAAUGGGAUGUGUAGAAUAGGUGGUAGGCAUUGAAACCGCGGCGCUAGCUGUGGUGGAGCCGAAAUGUGAAAUACCACCCUUCUUGUUCCUGAUGUCUAACCGCGGUCCCGAAACGGGAUCCGAGACAGUGUAUGGUAGGCAGUUUGACUGGGGCGGUCGCCUCCCAAAGAGUAACGGAGGCGCGCGAUGGUAGGCUCAAUCCGGUCGGAAAUCGGAUGGUGAGUGCAAUGGCAAAAGCCUGCCUGACUGCAAGGUCGACGGACCAAGCAGAGACGAAAGUCGGUCAUAGUGAUCCGGUGAUCCCGAAUGGAAGGGUCAUCGCUCAACGGAUAAAAGGUACGCCGGGGAUAACAGGCUGAUCGCACCCAAGCGUCCAUAGCGACGGUGCGGUUUGGCACCUCGAUGUCGGCUCAUCACAUCCUGGGGCUGUAGCCGGUCCCAAGGGUAUGGCUGUUCGCCAUUUAAAGUGGUACGUGAGCUGGGUUUAGAACGUCGUGAGACAGUUCGGUCCCUAUCUGCCGUGGGUGUUCGAAACUUGAGAAGACUUUUUCCUAGUACGAGAGGACCGGAAAGAACGUAUCUCUGGUGGACCGGUUGUGGCGCCAGCCGCACAGCCGGGUAGCUAAAUACGGACGAGAUAACCGCUGAAAGCAUCUAAGCGGGAAACUCACUUCAAAACUAGGUUUCGCUUGAGAGCCGGGGAAGACUACCCCGUCGAUAGGCCAGGUGUGUAAGCGCAGCAAUGCGUUGAGCUUACUGGUACUAAUUGCUC
rnacentral:rRNA from 1 species